AGCUUGCUUUCUCGAGCGAGUGGCGAACGGGUGAGUAACGCGUGAGGAACCUGCCUCAAAGAGGGGGACAACAGUUGGAAACGACUGCUAAUACCGCAUAAGCCCACGGUGCCGCAUGGCACAGAGGGAAAAGGAGCAAUCCGCUUUGAGAUGGCCUCGCGUCCGAUUAGCUAGUUGGUGAGGUAACGGCCCACCAAGGCGACGAUCGGUAGCCGGACUGAGAGGUUGAACGGCCACAUUGGGACUGAGACACGGCCCAGACUCCUACGGGAGGCAGCAGUGGGGAAUAUUGCACAAUGGGGGAAACCCUGAUGCAGCGACGCCGCGUGGAGGAAGAAGGUCUUCGGAUUGUAAACUCCUGUUGUUGGGGAAGAUAAUGACGGUACCCAACAAGGAAGUGACGGCUAACUACGUGCCAGCAGCCGCGGUAAAACGUAGGUCACAAGCGUUGUCCGGAAUUACUGGGUGUAAAGGGAGCGCAGGCGGGAAGACAAGUUGGAAGUGAAAUCUAUGGGCUCAACCCAUAAACUGCUUUCAAAACUGUUUUUCUUGAGUAGUGCAGAGGUAGGCGGAAUUCCCGGUGUAGCGGUGGAAUGCGUAGAUAUC
rnacentral:rRNA from 1 species